rnacentral:rRNA from 1 species
UACGUAGGGUGCAAGCGUUGUCCGGAAUUAUUGGGCGUAAAGAGCUCGUAGGCGGUUUGUCGCGUCUGCUGUGAAAACCCGAGGCUCGACCUCGGGCCUGCAGUGGGUACGGGCAGACUAGAGUGCGGUAGGGGAGAUUGGAAUUCCUGGUGUAGCGGUGGAAUGCGCAGAUAUCAGGAGGAACACCAAUGGCGAAGGCAGAUCUCUGGGCCGUAACUGACGCUGAGGAGCGAAAGCAUGGGGAGCGAACAGG